AACAAACGCUGGCGGCGUGCCUAAUACAUGCAAGUCGAACGGGUAGCAAUACCAGUGGCGCACGGGUGAGGAAUAUAUGGGUAAUCUGCCCUCGAGUUGGGGGAUAACCAGUCGAAAGACUGGCUAAUACCGAAUAAGACCACAGGAUCUGCGGAUCUAGGGGUUAAAGGUUUUUCGCUUGAGGAUGAGCCCAUACGGGAUUAGCUAGUUGGUGAGGUAAUGGCUCACCAAGGCUACGAUCCCUAACUGGUCUUAGAGGAUGAUCAGUCACACUGGAACUGAGACACGGUCCAGACUCCUACGGGAGGCAGCAGUAGGGAAUAUUGCACAAUGGGGGAAACCCUGAUGCAGCGGCGCCGCGUGAGUGAUGAAGGCCUUCGGGUCGUAAAGCUCUGUCGUAUGGGACUAACACAAUGAAGGUACCAUGCAAGAAAGGAAUCGGCUAACUUCGUGCCAGCAGCCGCGGUAAU
rnacentral:rRNA from 1 species